rnacentral:rRNA from 1 species
GAGUAAUGCGUGACCAACCUGCCCCAUGCUCCAGAAUAGCUCUUGGAAACGGGUGGUAAUGCUGGAUGCUCCAACUUGACGCAUGUCUUGUUGGGAAAGUGUUUAGUGGCAUGGGAUGGGGUCGCGUCCUAUCAGCUUGUAGGCGGGGUAAUGGCCCACCUAGGCUUCGACGGGUAGCCGGCCUGAGAGGGCGGACGGCCACAUUGGGACUGAGAUACGGCCCAGACUCCUACGGGAGGCAGCAGC